UCCUCCGUGGCGCAAUUGGCUAGCGCGUUCGACUGUUAUUAACAGGUUAUCGAGAGGUUGACAGUUCAAGCCUGUCCGGGGGAG